rnacentral:lncRNA from 1 species
UGGUAUCCCUAGGGUUUUGGGCAAGGACGGCUUUUCUACCAUAAAACUGAACAUUAAAAAAGCGAGACUGACCUGAGAUCUUGGCAAACAAUGGAAACAAAAAAUGUAGCAAAACAAAAAUUCAUCUCCAACAUUUACUUUACCAUCAUCUGCUCUGCUUUUGCAGUACAACACACAAGCUUCAAGACAAAAGGAGUGAUUAGAAUUCUCAAGACUUUGAGUACCUCUGUUGUCCACUUCAAUAUUUUUUUAAAUAUCAAACU